CCUACGGGUGGCAGCAGUCGAGAAUCAUUCACAAUGGGGGAAACCCUGAUGGUGCGACGCCGCGUGGGGGAAUGAAGGUCUUCGGAUUGUAAACCCCUGUCAUGUGGGAGCAAAUUAAAAAGAUAGUACCACAAGAGGAAGAGACGGCUAACUCUGUGCCAGCAGCCGCGGUAAUACAGAGGUCUCAAGCGUUGUUCGGAAUCACUGGGCGUAAGGCGUGCGUAGGCUGUUUCGUAAGUCGUGUGUGAAAGGCGCGGGCUCAACCCGCGGACGGCACAUGAUACUGCGAGACUAGAGUAAUGGAGGGGGAACCGGAAUUCUCGGUGUAGCAGUGAAAUGCGUAGAUAUCGAGAGGAACACUCAUGGCGAAGGCGGGUUCCUGGACAUUAACUGACGCUGAGGCACGAAGGCCAGGGGAGCGAAAGGGAUUAGAUACCCGAGUAGUC
rnacentral:rRNA from 1 species